GUCCUGGCCCUAAACGGUGUUCACUUGGUGUGCGGGGAGUCGACCCCCUGCGUGCCGCAGCUAACGCGAUAAGUGAACCGCCUGGGAAGUACGACCGCAAGGUUAAAACUCAAAGAAAUUGACGGGGCCCGCACAAGCGGUGGAGCAUGUGGCUUAAUUCGAUGCAACGCGAAGAACCUUACCUGGCCUUGACAUGCUGGUGGUAGAAGCCUGAAAGGGUGACGACUCAUCGUAAGAUGAGAGCCAGCACAGGUGCUGCAUGGUUGUCGU
rnacentral:rRNA from 1 species